AAAGUCCUGAGGUGCACGUUAUUUAACCUAUUAGUUUUGACCGAACAUUAAAACUAAGGGAGUUUGAAGUUUUCAAGCCGCGUACAUACCUCAUACGGAAGCUGGCAUUCUGCCGCCCAGAGGAAGCACAAGUCCUUGAAACAAAGCACCCACCUGCAUUAUGCGGGUUCAAACAAAGGCCGAGUGACGACACGAAUUGGGACUUUA
rnacentral:other from 1 species